CCUACGGGUGGCUGCAGUGGGGAAUAUUGGACAAUGGGCGAAAGCCUGAUCCAGCCAUGCCGCGUGUGUGAAGAAGGCCUUCGGGUUGUAAAGCACUUUCAGUGGGGAAGAAAGCCUUGGGGCUAAUACCCUCGAGGAAGGACAUCACCCACAGAAGAAGCACCGGCUAACUCCGUGCCAGCAGCCGCGGUAAUACGGAGGGUGCGAGCGUUAAUCGGAAUUACUGGGCGUAAAGCGCGCGUAGGCGGUCUGAUAAGCCGGUUGUGAAAGCCCCGGGCUCAACCUGGGAACGGCAUCCGGAACUGUCAGGCUAGAGGGCAGGAGAGGAAGGUAGAAUUCCCGGGGUAGCGGUGAAGUGCGGAGAGAUCGGGAGGAAUACCAGUGGCGAAGGCGGCCUUCUGGACUGACACUGACGCUGAGGUGCGAAAGCGUGGGUAGCAAACAGGAUUAGAUACCCGGGUAGUC
rnacentral:rRNA from 1 species